GCCCCCGUGGCGCAGUUGGAGAGCGCGCGACGCUACGAACGUCGAGGCCGCAGGUUCGAGUCCUGCCGGGGGUG
rnacentral:tRNA from 1 species